rnacentral:rRNA from 1 species
ACGAACGCUGGCGGCGUGCAUAACACAUGCAAGUUGAACGAGAAUUUGGCUGCGGAUCUUUUCGGAGAAAAGCAGACGAAGGAAAGUAGCGAACGGGUGAGUAACGCGUAAGGAACCUGCCUCUCACAGGGGGAUAGCAGCUGGAAACGGCUAUUAAUACCCCAUGGUACCGGAGCAUCGCAUGAUGGACCGGUGAAAGAGUUCUCGGUGAGAGAUGGCCUUGCGUCUGAUUAGCUGGUUGGUGAGGUAACGGCUCACCAAGGCGACGAUCAGUAGCCGGCCUGAGAGGGUGAACGGCCACAUUGGGACUGAGACACGGCCCAAACUCCUACGGGAGGCAGCAGUGGGGAAUUUUGCACAAUGGGGGCAACCCUGAUGCAGCGACGCCGCGUGAACGAAGACGGUCUUCGGAUUGUAAAGUUCUGUCCUGGGGUGAAGAAAAAGACGGUAAUCCAGGAGGAAGCCCCGGCUAACUACGUGCCAGCAGCCGCGGUAAUACGUAGGGGGCGAGCGUUGUCCGGAAUUUAUUGGGCGUAAAGGGUGCGUAGGCGGUUUUUUAAGUUGUCGUGAAGCCCGGGGCUUAACCCCGGGUAAGCGAUGAAAACUGGAAGACUUGAGUGAUGGAGAGGAACGUGGAAAUGCGUAGAGAUCAGGAGGAAUACCAGUGGCGAAGGCGACGUUCUGGACAUU